GUUCCUCAACUUCCGGUUUCUGCACUGCAACUAUUUCAGUUACAUUUUUAAUUAACGAUGCCAAGCACUUGUUGUUGUGUUCCUGGAUGUCAUUUAAGAGGAGGACAUGCAUUUCCAAAUGACUUAAAAAGAAGGAAAAGUUGGAUCAACGCCAUGGCCCAAACGUAGAUUGGACGAGAACACGAUGAAAUCGUGGAGUCCAUCUCAAUCAGCUGUUGUUUGCAAGGCACAUUUUACUGAAAAAGACUACGUGCAGGAAACUAUUCAUGGGCGCAAACCCACCAUACAGAGACUUAAGUCUACUGCCAUUCCCAGCCUAUUUUCCUGGACCAAGCAAGAGACUGAAUCGUCCGCAAAAAGAAAAAUCGGGGCAGUUUCCUGUGAAAACAAAAGAACUAAACUUGAUGAAUAUUGUAGUAGAAAUCUAGAGGAAAGUUUUGAUUGUAAAGUUGGUUUUCCUGAAGAAGUCAUUCAUACUGCAGAAAGGAUUUAUGACUGUCCACCACCAACUGCCGAGCUAAUGUUGAGCUUCAAAGAUGGAAUUACGCAAAUACAUGUACCAUCAAUGUCUAUGUUUUCAGCAGAGAAUUUUGAAAUGAAGACACGUGACACAGCCAUGCAUUUUUAUACCGGUUUAGAGUUGUAUACUAAAUUUUUAUUUGUUUUGACCACACUUGGUCCAACAGCACAUUGUUUGAGAUACAUAUAUUUUCAAAUUGAUAGGGUGUCAGUUGAAAAUCAGUUUUUUUAUGACUUUGAUGAAAUUGAGGCAUUAUACAACCAACUUUGAACUUUCUAGAUUCUAGAUUGAAUCUAGUGUUAAGAAUAUUGUGUAUACAUGGAUUGUUUUUAUGCCUAAACAGUGGUGUGAGGCUAACACUUGGCCAUCUAGUGGUUUAGUCAGGCAUUUUUCGCCAUCCAACUUCAAAUUAAAGUUUCCUACGACUUGGAUUAUUAUUGACAGCACAGAAUAUCCCGUGAUAAAACCUAAAGCUCCUAGAGCUCAGGCAACCUUUUCAUCAUAUAAAAACAGAAACACUGAAAAUACUUGAAUGUUCGACGCCUGGUGGUUUAGUCAACUAUGUCUCUAAUGCAUAUGUUGGUUCUACCAGUGACUAUGAAAUAGUUGAAAGAUGUAGAAUACAAAAUGUAGUUCAAUUAUGUGAUCCAGGUGACAGUGUGAUGGCAGACAAAGGUUUAAAUGUGCAAGAUUUGUUUGCUAACUUUUUUCAAAAAAAGAAACAGAAUUAGUUCCAAAACUCUUAUACAGGAUAGAAAAAUCUCCAAUUAACAUGUGCACAUAGAGCGAAUUAUUGGACUUGGCAAAACAUACAAAAUUCUCACAAAUCCUAUGAAUGGAACUGAAACAAAACUUUCAUCUGAAAUAACAUUUAGUUGUUUUAUGUUGUGUAAUUUUAGAACUUGUAUUGUGCCAAAGGAUGCAGAAAUAAAAGUGACACAAUGAA